GAUGAACGCUGGCGGCGUGCCUAAUACAUGCAAGUCGAGCGAAAAGACGAGGCGCGUGCGCCUCUGACGUGGGCGACGGACGGGUAAGUAGCACGUGGAUAACCUUGCUCUACGGCUGAAGUAACUGCGAGAAGCCGGAGCUAAGACCAGAUAAUAUAUUGAGCGGCAUGGUUCAAUAGUGAAAGAGGUUUUGGCUGACACUUAGGCAUGGAACCGCGGCGCAUUGGCGAGUUGGUAAGGUAACGGCUUACCAAGGCAAGGAUGCGCAGCCGACCUGAGAGGGUGAACGGCCACACUGGGACUGAGACACGGUCCAGACUCUUACGGGCGGCAGCAGUACGGACUCUUCCGCAAAGGGCGAAAGCCUGACGGAGCAGCGCCGCGUGAGUGAUGAGGGGCUUCGUAUCGGAAAACUCUGUUAUUGUGGAAGAACAAUUGUGUAAGGAACUAUGCACGUUUUGACGGUACCUAAACAGAAAGCAACGGCUAACUACGUG
rnacentral:rRNA from 1 species